GAUGAACGCUAGCUACAGGCUUAACACAUGCAAGUCGAGGGGAAACGAUAUUGGAAGCUUGCUUCCGAUAGGCGUCGACCGGCGCACGGGUGAGUAACGCGUAUCCAACCUGCCCAUCACUUGGGGAUAACCUUGCGAAAGUAAGACUAAUACCCAAUAACGUCUCUAGAAGACAUCUGAAGGAGAUUAAAGAUUUAUCGGUGAUGGAUGGGGAUGCGUCUGAUUAGCUUGUUGGCGGGGUAACGGCCCACCAAGGCGACGAUCAGUAGGGGUUCUGAGAGGAAGGUCCCCCACAUUGGAACUGAGACACGGUCCAAACUCCUACGGGAGGCAGCAGUGAGGAAUAUUGGUCAGUGGGCGAGAGCCUGAACCAGCCAAGUAGCGUGCAGGAAGACGGCCCUAUGGGUUGUAAACUGCUUUUAUAAGGGAAUAAAGUGGGAGUCGUGACUCCUUUUGCAUGUACCUUAUGAAUAAGGACCGGCUAAUUCCGUGCCAGCAGCCGCGGUAA
rnacentral:rRNA from 1 species